rnacentral:rRNA from 1 species
CCUACGGGGGGCAGCAGUGAGGAAUAUUGGUCAAUGGACGAGAGUCUGAACCAGCCAAGUAGCGUGAAGGAAGACUGCCCUAUGGGUUGUAAACCUCUUUUAUAAAGGAAUAAAACGAGCCACGCGUGCCUUUCUGCAUGUACUUUAUGAAUAAGGAUCGGCUAACUCCGUGCCAGCAGCCGCGGUAAUACGGAGGAUCCGAGCGUUAUCCGGAUUUAUUGGGUUUAAAGGGUGCGUAGAGGGGUUGUUAAGUCAGUUGUGAAAGUUUGCGGCUCAACCGUAAAAGUGCAUUUGAUACUGGCUGUCUUGAGUGCAGUUGAAGUAGGCGGAAUGCGUGGUGUAGCGGUGAAAUGCUUAGAUAUCACGAAGAACCCCGAUUGCGAAGGCAGCUUACUAAACUGUAACUGACAUUGAUGCUCGAAAGUGUGGGUAUCAAACAGGAUUAGAUACCCUUGUAGUC